GGAAGGAUCAUUGCACACACA
rnacentral:rRNA from 1 species